CCUACGGGUGACAGCAGUGAGGAAUAUUGGUCAAUGGACGAAAGUCUGAACGAGCCAAGUAGCGUGAAGGAUGACUGCCCUAUGGGUUGUAAACUUCUUUUAUAUGGGAAUAAAACAGGGUAUGCAUACCCUCUUGUAUGUACCAUAUGAAUAAGGAUCCGCUAACUCCGUGCCAUCCGCCGCGGUAAUACGGAGUAUCCGAGCGUUAGCCGGAUUUAUUGGGUUGAAAGGGUGCGUAGGUGGAUUGAUAAGUUAGUUGUGAAAGUUUGCGGCUCAACCGUAAAAGGGCAGUUGAAACUGGAAGGCUAGAGUACAGUAGAGGUGGGUGGAAUUCGUUGUGUAGCGGUGAAAUGCGUAGAUAUAUGGAAGAACUCCGAUUGCGAAGGCAGCUCACUGGACUGCAACUGACACUGAUGCUCGAAAGUGUGGGUAGCAAACAGGAUUAGAUACCCGAGUAGUC
rnacentral:rRNA from 1 species